AGAGUUUGAUCCUGGCUCAGGAUGAACGCUGGCGGCAUGCCUAAUACAUGCAAGUCGAACGAGAGGAAGGAAAGCUUGCUUUUCUGAAUCUAGUGGCGAACGGGUGAGUAACACGUAGGUAACCUGCCCAUGUGCCCGGGAUAACUUCUGGAAACGGAUGCUAAAACCGGAUAGGUAGCAGACAAGCAUUUGACUGCUAUUAAAGUGGCCUUGGCCAUGAACAUGGAUGGACCUGCGGUGCAUUAGCUGGUUGGUGAGGUAACGGCCCACCAAGGCGACGAUGCAUAGCCGGCCUGAGAGGGCGGACGGCCACAUUGGGACUGAGACACGGCCCAAACUCCUACGGGAGGCAGCAGUAGGGAAUUUUCGUCAAUGGGGGGAACCCUGAACGAGCAAUGCCGCGUGAGUGAGGAAGGUCUUCGGAUCGUAAAGCUCUGUUGUAAGAGAAAAACGGCACUCAUAGGGAAUGAUGAGUGAGUGAUGGUAUCUUACCAGAAAGUCACGGCUAACUACGUGCCAGCAGCCGCGGGAAUACGUAGGUGGCGAGCGUUAUCCGGAAUGAUUGGGCGUAAAGGGUGCGUAGGUGGCAGAUCAAGUCUGGAGUAAAAGGUAUGGGCUCAACCCGUACUGGCUCUGGAAACUGAUCAGCUAGAGAACAGAAGAGGACGGCGGAACUCCAUGUGUAGCGGUAAAAUGCGUAGAUAUAUGGAAGAACACCGGUGGCGAAGGCGGCCGUCUGGUCUGGAUUCUGACACUGAAGCACGAAAGCGUGGGGAGCAAAUAGGAUUAGAUACCCUAGUAGUCCACGCCGUAAACGAUGAGAACUAGGUGUUGGGGGAAUAACUCAGUGCCGCAGUUAACGCA
rnacentral:rRNA from 1 species